GAUGAAGAACGCAGCGAAAUGCGAUAAGUAAUGUGAAUUGCAGAAUUCAGUGAAUCAUCGAAUCUUUGAACGCACAUUGCGCCCGCUGGUAUUCCGGCGGGCAUGCCUGUUCGAGCGUCAUUUCAACCCUCAAGCUCUCCGGAGUUUGGUGUUGGGGCGCCUGGGGCUUUUCGACCUCAGGGCCCUCAAGUCCAUCGGCGGGACCGCCAGGACACUGAGCGCAGUAGUAUUAUUUCGCUCGGUAGGAUCUUCCACGGCGGGUCGAUCUGGCCGCUAAACCCCCCACUUCUCACCAAAGGUUGACCUCGGAUCAGGUAGGAAUACCCGCUGAACUUAAGCAUAUCAAUAAGCGGAGGA
rnacentral:misc_RNA from 1 species